rnacentral:lncRNA from 1 species
AAUCUUCGAUUUGAUGGAAAAAGUCAAAGUGUUUGAUUUUAUCAAAUUUGAAGACGAAUUGUGUGUUUACAAGAAGAUAGUGGGAGCAUUGUCGUAUUCCUAAUAUUAUAGAAAACGACAUCCCUAUGUUUUAAUCGUUGAAAUAAUGGUUGUUAAAGGAUUUAUUCAUGAACGAUAUGUGAUAAGCAACUUGAUCUAUAGAG